GAGUUCUGUCCUAGCAAGCACACAACUCCAAAUGUCCAUACCUCAAGUCCGGAAGGCCGAGCACUCAGGUUAGGAGAAAACACAGAGGGAGACUGCUGUUCUGCUCCAGAUGACCCAGGCGGUCUCCUGGCUGCGUCUGAAAGGAAAGGCGAAGGUUGAGAGGCCGGCACCUCUGGCCACUGCACUGGCAACUGCCGAGAUUCUGAAACUGUCCCCUGCUCGGACAAAAAGAAUCUUGCAGGAUUGAGGAGAGAGAGCUUCACACCGCAGCUCUUGGGUGAAGACGUUGCCUUUUCCAGCAGCCUGCUGUUUGAGUUCCUCGCAAGAAAUCUGUGUUUUAUUCUUCGUCCCGAAUGAAGCCGCGCUAAGAACUUGUGGGCUCUAGAGUGAGGGUUGUUUUUGCAGGCGAGUUCCUGGGCUUUGCUCCAAAGCUGCCUUGGGAUGUUUUGGUUGGUUUGGGGGAAAGCUGCAAAGUCUCCAACCCAGUUCCACCCAGACAGCCCCCUGGUGGCCGCGAGGAAAAGUCAGGCGCAGGUAAGUAAGGGCAGUUUACAGCUGGGCCCAAAUCUUCUAGUGGGGCAAGCCUUGUGGUAGUGUAGGCGAACAACAAAUCAAGAGGCGCUGAGGAGCCCUGGGCCCUGGGAUGUUUAACUGCUUCUUUUCUUACGUUUAACUUGGAGUUAUUUUCUUUUCCCUUAAAUUCUUUCUCAAGAAAGCCACAUACUGAGAAUGAACUGUAAUGCCCCCAUAGAAACAAACAAAACAAAAACAUGUUCUCUUUCAUUGUUCAGAUGGCUCUGUCUUCUUGAUCUCAUUUUGUUUGGAAAAUUCUGAAAUAAAGAGUCAACUAAAGUAUUAAACAAGUCACAUGACACAACAAUUCACAAGACUGGCUGUAGCGAUGUAAUCGUGACAAACAAGGAGAUUUGGUAGGAUUCCAUUUGAACAGGUAUGAAGACAGUCAGGUGGUGGCAAGAUGAGUCACCAUCAGAGUCUGAUACGCAGUGGGACAGCACAGAGUCAUGGAAACUGUCAGGAGAGCAGAAGUUACUCUAACCUAGGAGCAAAGGUUUCCAGAACCCAUCAUCAUAGUUCACUUGUGACCACUCUAUGAAUUUCAAGUUGAUGACUCCAGCCAAUGAGGCAAUCUGUUUGUCCCUGCAGAGCUUCUGGGCAAGAAACACCCAGACCAAAAGAGUGGGCUUGGGCCGCAGUGCAGCCAGCCUGCAGUUUGAAUGUGUCUUUAUUUAACAUGGUGAAAUGCAGUUCAUUGUAGAUGUUUAUUGUGUUACAUGUCAAGUUUUACUCACCGAUUUUUAAACCAGUCUCUCUUAAUUCCUGUUUGUGAACAUUGCUUAAAUUUUUAGCUUGAUGUGAAGGUAUCAUUUUUCCUGCCUAUUGUGUGUGUGAGAUGUUACCAGAGACCAGUUGCAGAAAUAAAGCUUAAGGUAGAACUGACCAAAUAUUAAAGAUGAUGAUCAUGGCAAGGAAUUGCCAGGCGGAAUUGGAGAGGUAUGGGGUGGCAGCAGCCUCAAAGAAUUCACAGAGGGAGUUCUUGGAGGUUCACAAAGUAUGAACAGGUUUUCUGUGGGGGUAGAAUAUUAAACCAUUUCAUUUAGCUAACAGCCAUUGCUGGAGCUGGCUCUUUUGCCUCGUGACCUAGUCUCUACGUUCGCUGCUACUUUCUAUGAAGGCCCAGGUGUUCUGGUCUGUUGAAGCUGGCUAAAAUUGUGAAGUCUACCCCUAGCCUUUCAUGACAGACCUUUUGGGGAAGGGGACAGUUUCAAAACUGAUGGUGGCAGUCCCAUGAGUAACAAAACAGUGUCAUCAUCCUUAAGCAUUCCCCAGGACACCAUUUCAGAGUCCCUCCACAGCUAUCUGGAUCUGCAGAUGGCCCAGCUCCAUGAGUGUAGUGUUUGCAUGUAACCAACACUUCCCCUCUUUGACACGAAACUCACCUGUAGAUUAAAUGCUAUGCAAAUAGGUAUCAUACUGUAUUAAAGGAUUAACAAGGAAAGAAGGUCUGCGCAUGCUCAGUCCACAUGCAGGUUUUUCAAGUAUCUUCACCUGUGGCUGAUUGACUCCACGGAUGCAGAGCUAUAAGCUGCCAGGUGAGAUAAGACCAGGAAGCCAACAGAGCCCAGUAGAGGAAGGGUCCGAUAGACUGGCCUCAAAGGUAGCUGAAUGGAACUGUUGCUGGAAUACAGAGAGAGACGGUUGUGUUAUUUGCUAGUUAAUCCCGGUACAAAAUGAAAUCAGGAAAAACUGUCAAGGUGGAACAAAACAAAAAGCUUUGUCAUUCUGCUUUCUGUCUUUGGAGCCGUCGUGGCAUUUUAAUGUGUUACUUAAUAUUCUAAGUAAAGGAAAACAAAUGCCUCAAAUUA